CCUACGGGAGGCUGCAGUGGGGAAUAUUGGGCAAUGGACGCAAGUCUGACCCAGCAACGCCGCGUGAAGGAAGAAGGCUUUCGGGUUGUAAACUUCUUUUAAGAGGGAAGAGGAGAAGAAGGUACCCCUUGAAUAAACCACGGCCAACUACGGUCCAGCAGCCGCGGGAAUACGUAGGUGGCAAGCGUUUUUCGGAUUUACUGGGUGUAAAGGGCGUGCAGCGGGAGAGACAAGUCAGAUGUGAAAACCACGGGCUCAAACUGUGAACUGCAUUUGAAACUGUUUCCCUUGAGUGUCGGAGAGGGAGACGGAAUUCCUUGUGUAGCGGUGAAAUGCGUAGAUAUAAGGAAGAACACCAGUGGCGAAGGCGGAUUACUGGACGAUAACUGACGGUGAGGCGCGAAAGCGUGGGGAGCAAACAGGAUUAGAUACCCCAGUAGUC
rnacentral:rRNA from 1 species